CUGCAUCAUAUUUUCCUUCUUUAAAUGAAAUCUGAACUCUCUUGCAAUAAUUUUCUUUCCUAUCUAAUCAUUACCUUUUGCACAAAUGCAUCAUGUAUGAAAAAUUUCAUUAAUGAUGCUGUCAUGACAGUUCAAAUGGAGACUCACAGCAACCUAGAGUAGUUUUGCCAAUAGCACAGAAAUAAGUAGUCAUUCCAUUUAUUAUGGAGCACAGCCAACAAAUCUUUUCAACUUGACCCUAAUUUAAUGUAAACCACUAUAUCUAGGUCAGAGCAGACGGCAGGGGGUAAACGGGAACAGCCCCAGCCCUGGGUGUGGGACACCUCCCUGGGGACGGCAACAGGCCAGACUGGGACAUCAGCCUGCGAGUGGAAGUGGUUUGGUGGGACCCAUGCCAAGGGACACAGCUGCGGGGGGGCGGUGAGGAACUGCAGCUCAGCCAGGGCCAAGGCAAGAGCCUCUGCUGGAAGCAGCUCCCCACAUCAGGGUUUCCCCCCACUGUGCCUGGGAGCCUCCUCUCAAGGUCACUAUGGAGAAGGAGCCACCCUUGGCUAGUGGCUUUGAGCUGGCCCCAAGUCCAGCAGCCCAAGCUUUGAGACCUCCUGCAGAUGCUCCAUAACCCUUAUAGCAGAGCUCACCAUCAGGCUUUCCCAAACAACUACCUCACAAAGGCUGCAUUGUUACUUUUCCAUGGCAGGACAACAACAGACAAGAGAUGACAGUCACAUGCACCCAUCAGUUUGGCUGAGCACAAUUUUCCAGGCAUUGAUGGCUCAGUGGCCAUAUCAGAACGUGCACUACCAUUUUUAUGAAAAAGAAAAGUCAACUUGGCUCAAAACCAAAAAUGUAAGGAGUUACAUAGGAACAGUGAAAUGUCUGGGCACAUGCCAAAGUGGUACUACUUGGCAGCAGGAACUAUCAUAUAUAAAUGGGAUUUUAAAAAUGCCUAAAGAAAAGCUGCUGUGGCCCAGGCUCCUGUGGGCUAAAUGCCCAUAGUUUUCCAAGCAGUAAAAUUUUACUGUUAUCAGCUGUGAUAAAGCAAUGUUACAGAAAUAGUGGAUUUCCCAUUAUUAUCAGACUGAAAUGGAUUAGGUGUUGGUAUUACAAGUAUCACUCUGACAGGAGCCUCAUGGCUGCUGGCACCAUGCCAACACAGCAAGAUUUUAUUGGCUCCCCAGGAGCAAGUACUCCCAGGACCAUUGCAUGGCAAAACCAAGCAUUCUCAAACAGGACUUGAGCAAUUCUUUUCCUUGCAUUUCAUUUGUUUGACCAGCCAUCUAUUUUUGCUUCUCGAAGAUAACAGCAUAUUCAAAAUGCUUCAAUGGAAGGUGUAAGAGCUGCAUGCCUGGCUCACCCUAACUUUGCUGGGAAAUGCACCUCAUUGCUUACUCAUGAAGCAGACCACAGACUAGGAAACUCCUGGUUAGAAAAGUAACAAGGUUUAACACAAAGGAACUUCCAUUACAGAGUAAAACAGCAGCAGACAAAAAUGAUGUAUCAUUAAAACACUUUCCUUGUCCUCACUCACCUCUUUGUGGGAUGCUGCUCCUGGUAGGUAAAAAGCUACCAUCAGUCUCGUGCCUCAAAGCCGCAGGUGGUUGCUAGGUGAAAAUGCAGUUUUCAGAUGUUACUAUUCCACAGGCUGCAAAUGAUCUCUGCACAAGAGCUGCUCAUUAAGUGGUACUCCAUGAAGUUUCAGAGUGUCUGUUAUGAUGGAAGUCCUCCUCUCUUGAUCUUUCUCCAAUUCAGGCUUCUGAAUUCUUAUGAAGACUUAGGAGGAGAUUUUAAGUGCUGCUGUGCAUGAAACUGCUUCUGGUAUUGUUUGGCUUAUAACAACCAGUUGCCACAAGUGUAUGCAGGAGAUGGAGAAUUAAUCAGCAGAGACAGCAGGUGUUUUGAGCCCCUAUUAUUUUCUGUGGUCCCUGCAGGGACCAUCAGAAUACAUGGCUAUUUUAUGCCAAGAUCCAGUGAAUGAUAGCAUCUAACAGAUGCUUCAUUCUUUGAGAACCUUAGCUGUAACAGACCAGAAGCAUCUGGCAUUCACUUUUGAACAGCAGAUCAGAAAGUAGGAAACUCAAAGAACCCACCCAGCUCAUAUGCCCAGUAAUUCCUAAUCAAGAACAAAGUGCAUCUUCUGAGCACAUUGUGUGGAAUGCAUUAGCAUGCACCUCAGUGACAUCCUAUUUAAAAAAAUCAUCAAGAAAGGAAGUUGUGAACCACAUCUGGCUCACAGUAACACAUUAUCAAAAUUCAACAUUUGGUGAGUCUUUAAUGCAACAAAAACUAUUACUGAAAGGGAAAAUCUUGUUCUAAAAUAAUCAGGGAGCAUGUGAGCCUCACACAUCCUACUGGAACUCUGUUAACUCAAACUUCCCUGUCCAACUCAAAGAUAUAUAUGCUUGAUGACCAUCAGUCUGACUUUAGCUUUUAAAAUCAAGCUGAGAAAUGCAACUCCAUUUAAGAACCAAAAUCCUGUCCUUCAGAACAAAGCAGACAUGUCUGGUAAAAUCCAAGAAGCUCUUAAAGAAUAAUUUGGUGGCAGCAGUACAGUCAGAUCAGCUCUGUGGUAACUCCAGGUUCAGAAAAUGGGAGAAAGACUAGCAUCUGUGAUCUGACUAGCUUCCAAGAGAAACUGUAUCAGAAGCUAGUAUUACAUAAAAUGUACCUACAAUACUAGUUUCAUACAGAUCCCUUUAUCAAAAAUAAUAUUUUCAGUACUGAUUAUACAUCUGGAAAUACAUCUGGGGAAAAUAAGACCAUUACUGUGUAAAAAAACAAAUUCACAAGCUUUAUUUGUCACAACACAUUUCAUGUACAUGCAGAAUGUACUCACAUUUCUCUUUUAAGGCAAAUAGGAAUUGGGUUCUUAUACCUGAGUUGCUUAGCACAAGCAGGAACAGCAAAUAAAAACUUAGGAAGUGCCGUCUCUCCCUUUAGA
ensembl:lncRNA